GUCUACGGCCAUACCACCCUGAAGGCGCCCGAUCUCGUCUGAUCUCGGAAGCUAAGCAGGGGCAGGCCUGGCUAGUACUUGGAUGAAAAAAAAAUAAAUAAAUAAAAGGUUUUUAUUAUGGUCA
rnacentral:rRNA from 1 species